AUGCAGCUGACGAGUCUCAAACAGGACGAAACGCGCGUUCUGGGU
rnacentral:hammerhead_ribozyme from 1 species